rnacentral:rRNA from 2 species
GUGUCAGCAGCCGCGGUAAUACGUAGGUGGCAAGCGUUAUCCGUAAUUAUUGGGCGUAAAGCGCGCGCAGGUGGUUUCUUAAGUCUGAUGUGAAAGCCCACGGCUCAACCGUGGAGGGUCAUUGGAACCUGGGAGACUUGAGUGCAGAAGAGGAAAGUGGAAUUCCAUGUGUAGCGGUGAAAUGCGUAGAGAUAUGGAGGAACACCAGUGGCGAAGGCGACUUUCUGGUCUGUAACUGACACUGAGGCGCGGAAGCGUGGGGAGCAAACAGGAUUAGAUACCCGGGUAGUCCACGGCGUAAACAAUGAGUGCUAAGAAGUAGAGGGGUUGGGCCCUUGAGUGCUGAAGUUAACGCAUUAAGCACUCCGCCUGGGGAGUACGGCCGCAAGGCUGAAACUCAAAGGAAUUGACGGGG